UUUCUAACCACAACAAUCCCAGCAGCCACAAAGAGUUGACCACACCCACCUUAUUGCACCAACACGUAUUAUACGUACUUUGCAUGAUACUUUAUUUUCUCAUUUGUUUGUGGUUCAUUUCCUCUGCCUAGAACGAAAGCUCCUUGAGGACAAACGUUGCAUCUGAUUCAUCUUUAUGUCCACAGGGCCUAACGGAGGACUUGGCAAGCAGUAGAUGUGUAAUAUUUAUUGAAUAAAUAAAACAGAGUGGAGUGGGGUUCGACUCCAAAGACAGCAUUAGGAUUGGAAACUAUUCUAGAGAUACUCAGCUCCUGAGAGAUCCAUCCAUUCACCCUUCCAUCCAACAAAAUUCGUUGAGGAUCUUUUAUGUCCUAGGCACUGAGGAUACAGAACUGAACAAGGCAGAUGUGGUCUCUGCUCUUCUGGCAUCUGUAUUUUAGCAGAGGAAGAGAGAAGUAAGCAAGCACAUGAACAAAUAAGUGCUUUGAAGAAAAGAAAACAAGACGUUGUGCCUUUAAAGAGGAUGAUGAGAGAGGUCAAAGUAGGUUCUCUGAGAAAGUGACAUUUGAGGUAAGACAUGAGUGAAAUGAUGGACCCAAACAUGUGAAUAUCUAACAAGGGGCAGAAGGUACGGCAAAAGCAAGUGCAAAGAGCCAAAGGUGGGAACAAGCUUGGAUUGUUAGAGAAACAAAAACAAGACCAGUAGGGCAUAGAACAUAGUGAGGAAGAGGGAAAGCGAAGAAAGGCGAGGCUAGACUCAAUCCACCCGAAAGGCCAUGAGAACAAGACCUUCAGUGUAAUGAGGUCCCAUCCCACAGAUCACCCCCGGGGCCCCCUGCAGAACACAAAGAGGGGCUCUCUCCCCAGGGCCAAACCAGCCCCAUCUUGUACAGCCUGACAUUAUACCAUCACCCAAAAUCAAGAAGCAGCAUCUGUGCCAGCCAUCUCCCACUGGAAGGACCAGAUCCUCAGGCCACUCCCAACUUUGCCCUACUUACCAUUCCCAAGAGUAGCCGGAAUCCUUCUUUGGCUGAGUUAUCAGUGAGCCCCAUUUCAGUGCACGUGGCCUGGCCAUGAAUGCCUGCAAAUCCCACUCCUUCUCAGACCCACUCAGAGGGUGCACUUGGCUUGCCCAGUCUGGGGGAAGCCACUCCCUGGCAGGGAAUAGCGGCUUGAGCUGCAAUGUAAAGCCAGUGGCUGCACAUUUUUAUGUUUGGUGGAUUCUGCAUAACGUGGUUCUCGAUGACUAAGGUUCCUUUUCUGGAACAAGGGCAGUUAAGACCCUGAAGACCAAG
rnacentral:lncRNA from 1 species